AGUGAACGCUGGCGGUAGGCCUAACACAUGCAAGUCGAACGGCAGCACAGUAAGAGCUUGCUCUUACGGGUGGCGAGUGGCGGACGGGUGAGGAAUACAUCGGAAUCUACUUUUUCGUGGGGGAUAACGUAGGGAAACUUACGCUAAUACCGCAUACGACCUACGGGUGAAAGCAGGGGAUCUUCGGACCUUGCGCGAUUGAAUGAGCCGAUGUCGGAUUAGCUAGUUGGCGGGGUAAAGGCCCACCAAGGCGACGAUCCGUAGCUGGUCUGAGAGGAUGAUCCGCCACACUGGAACUGAGACACGGUCCAGACUCCUACGGGAGGCAGCAGUGGGGAAUAUUGGACAAUGGGCGCAAGCCUGAUACAGCCAUACCGCGUGGGUGAAGAAGGCCUUCGGGUUGUAAAGCCCUUUUGUUGGGAAAGAAAAGCAGCAGGUUAAUACCCCGCUGUUCUGACGGUACCCAAAGAAUAAGCACCGGCUAACUUCGUG
rnacentral:rRNA from 1 species